UGUGUGUGUGUGUGUGUGUGUGUGUGUGUGUGUGUGUUUGAGAGCUAAUCAAUUAGUGUAUUAAAGCAAAUGGGGCUUGGAUUCGAUAGAUUCAAGUUUCUGUUGUAUGAAUGUUUCUUUGAGGCAGACUUCUACCUUUUUAAAGUGUGUAGACCAGCAGAUUUUCUCAGCUAAGUUUCAUAAGUGAUCUUACACAGCUAAGAACAAAACCUUAGACAAAACAUGCAAAACAAUAGUGACUCUGUUUCAUGCUUUGGUUCUGGUGAGCUGACAUUCUGCACACCAACCCAGGUUGAAUUCAGAUGUGAUUUGCCUGAGUAUAUUCUCGCCAUUUUCCUUGCCUGUCCUGUUCCAGGGAUUUUCUGGCUUUUUUUAACAGGGAAUCCUUAAAGCAGUUAGCCUAUGUGCAGAAAACGCAAAAUAACCUUAAGUUCUAGUGACUAUCAAGCUAUGUUGAAGUUCAAUAUGGUUUAACGGGUUUCCAGAUACUUUACUUUUUAUGAGAUGAUAAGCAGAACAGAAUUUGCCACAGUAGGUUACACCUAAUGUGGAGUUUGCUUUGGUAAAUGGUGCAUACGUCCAGGGGCGUAGCACAAAAUUCUGGGCCCUGUAGAAGGCAUUUUCUAUAGGCCCCUCUCUGCAUCCACAGCUGUUCAUUCUAGUAUAUUUUUGGGCCCACCUCACAUGAGGGCCCUGGGUACUCCUGCCCCCCCCCCCCCCAGUCCACCCCCCCUGCAUACAUCGACAAACAUUUAACAUUAGAAAAAAUAAACAAAUACAGAAACAAAGAUUUAGGUUUCCCUACACUGUGGAAUAUCUAGUGAUGAUCUACCAAAACUAGACUGUAUUUCAAAUUUUAAGUUUUGUUUUAAAUAUAAAGAACUUUGCAUAAUUGCCUCAUAACUCAUCUCUCUAAUCACAAACCCGUCUUUAACAGAGCCCAGUUUCUGCACAAGGAGAGUUGUUCUUUUUCCAUUAUAGGAAAAAAGUAAAGUAGCAAUUUAGACCUUUUGGUAAAUGUAAAAACAUUACAUUUUAUUGAUUUUAUAGCAAAUGCCUGAAAACUGGGGUCUGCCUCUAGGAAUUUUGUGUAAAACUCUUAUCAGCUGGACAUCAGAGAUUAUGUGAGUCCCUGGAUGCGUGUUUGUGUACAGAUGUAAAUAUUGUGUGAUAUUUUGUUUUUAUCUGGGUCUGUAGCUGUCAAUGAACUCUUCAUCUUAAUUUUCCCUCAGCCAGAUGUUGAACUUCUGAGACCAUUUACCGAUCAUGGCCUACUGCUAACAGUACAAGCCUUUCAGAAAGUUAGUUGACAGCUAUGUUGUAAAGUUUAAGGGUGUAAAAUUGCCACCUUUUCCUUCGUGAGUUUAAAAGUACUCCAUUUUAAAAACACUGCUCCUCACAAAUCCGGCUUUGAUUUUGUUGGCAGCAGCACCCCAGCCUCUCGCUGUGCUGUUGGCUCAUUCAUCUUAAUCGUUCUCCAAACGGUGCAUUGAAAGCUUCCCGAGCGGUUGGUAUUCUCAGGCGUUCUUGUCAUGUUGGAUAAGCUGCAGACCUGGAAAACAAUAAGGCACAUCAGCAGAACCAAACAGCAGAAAUGUGAGAUUUUGUUUAUUUUCAAAUGUCUUGAACCGUUUGUAAUGAACAGUGCAGCAAAUCCUGCACGCAAACCAAAAUUAUCUUUUAUAUUGGACCAAAGGAGAGCUGGAUGAAUCAGUGACUAUAACUGAUUGAGCUUGAAGCUUAAUUUAGGAAAUAGUUUGAUUAAACGUUCUUAACUUAAAGGGAUAGCUCGGAUGUUUUGACGUGGGGAACAUUAGAAAACACUGUGAGGAAGGUUAGAUCCAUCUCCUGACAUGAAAUGCUGUAAACUGUUGAUGGCUCUUAUUUUACACGAGGUCGUAGAUGGAGCAAUCUCUCUUUAAAUUGUAUCAAACAAGUUUCUCAGCUGAGUCCAGUUUUCAAGGAAAUGUAGAUGUUUAAAUGUCCAUUUAAAAAAGGCUUUGGAUUCGAUCUUUUCAAGUGUGUUUGUAUGAGCUUCUUCUCCAUAGCCAGUGUAAGCUACAGUAGACGGCAAUAAGUAAUGUCCUGCUGUGGACGGGGGAUGGGGGGGGGGGCUAAAAGAAAUCUAUAUUUAGAAAAUGCUGUACCUUGCCGUCAGACAGCCCUUUACAACAGGGAACUGAAGCCGUUAUCUCCGCUCUCUUCAAAGCCACCGGACUCCUUUGACUCAUUUUACCUCUCAGAACACGGGAGUGGCUGCUCUACCGCUGCCUCCAUCGGUUAGUUUUUACAUGUGUUAUUGUUUAAUUUUGGUGUUUUAAACAGGUUGGUUCAGUUUCAGAACUGACCAAGCUUCGAUGGCAAAUGAAAGCCAUGAGAUGUGGCUGAAAGCUCCAGAAGACAUCAAGUGUCAAACCACUAUUGGCAAGGGUGAGAAUGAACCCUCAGUUAUAUUCACAGAUGUAUCCAACUCUAUUUGAGAAAAGCAAAAAAAGAUGUCCGCAGCAAUGAGUUCCAAUGAAGUUCUCCUUGAACGCAGCAUUCACUGUAGCACUUAUGUAAAUAUGACAUUACAAGACCUUUUUAAUUUCUUCUUUUUGCAACUAAUGUAUAGACUUUUUUCAAAUCUUUUUUUAAAUGUUGGUAUUCACAAAAAAAUUGCAGUGACAAAUCUCUACUACAGGCCCAAAACCAUGAUGUUAAAUGGUAGUUUAAAGUUGAUAUGAACAGGGUCUUAAUUGUGCUCCUUAAUAUGAAUGUACAGACAUUAAAUCUGUGGUUUUGAGUUGACCAACUGUGAGGUGGAUGUUAAAAUAGCCGUCCACAUUUUGCUCGUAUACACAACAAUGACCUGAGACACAGAUUUCAAUGCAGUCAGUACCUUAGUGAAAAACUGGAAACAUCCACCUGCAGUCAGUCUUCUACGUCAGCUGGAGCUCAAACACCUGAAAGGCAUCAAAACAAAAAGAGAAACUGUACUCUAGUCAGGUUGUAGACAAUGACACUAAAUUUGUAUUGUUUGCCAGAGCGACCAAAACUAAAUGUGAAUGUAAAUAAGCAGGUGGUUUUGUCUGUAAAUAUGUGAAAUAAAGACACUGCAGGAGG